AAAACAGGGUCCUUGAUGCAGUUAAUGAGCUUAAACUGCACUGCCAUCCUUAUGUUACUAUAGAACCUAUUCUUACUUUGACUUGAAUUUAAAACCGAGUCCUUGGGGCAGUUAAUGUGCUUAAAUGCACUACUGCCUUUUAGUGUGGAACCCACCCAUCCUCACUUUGCAUUAAAACAGGGUCCUUGAUGCAGUUAAUGAGCUUAAACUGCACUGCCAUCCUUAUGUUACUAUAGAACCUAUUCUUACUUUGACUUGAAUUUAAAACCGAGUCCUUGGGGCAGUUAAUGUGCUUAAAUGCACUACUGCCUUUUAGUGUGGAACCCACCCAUCCUCACUUUGCAUUAAAACAGGGUCCUUGAUGCAGUUAAUGAGCUUAAACUGCACUGCCAUCCUUAUGUUACUAUAGAACCUAUUCUUACUUUGACUUGAAUUUAAAACCGAGUCCUUGGGGCAGUUAAUGUGCUUAAAUGCACUACUGCCUUUUAGUGUGGAACCCACCCAUCCUCACUUUGCAUUAAAACAGGGGGUUUUUGGAGCAGUUAAUGUGCAUAAAUGCCACUAUAGAACCCAUACUCACUUUGAUUUUGAUUUAAUACAGAGUUCUUGGUGAUUAUUUUGCUUAAAUUUAAAUGCCAGUACUGUGCUUAUGUCAGUAUAGAACCCAUGUAUCCUCACUUUGCAUUAAAGUAGAGGGUCCUUAUUCCACCACUGUUCUUAUGUUAAGGUGGAACCCACCCAUCCUCACUUUGUAUUAAAACAGUCUCUGGGGCAGUUAAUGUGUUUAAAUGCCACAGCUGUCCUUAGGUAAUAUGGAAUCCACUCAUCCUCACUUUGCAUUUAAACAGGGGGUCCUUGGGGCAGUUAAUGUGCUUAAAUGCCACUUGUGUCCUUAUGUCACUCAUAGAACCCAUAAUUACUUUGAUUUAAAACAGAGUCCUUGAGACAGUUAAUGUGCUUCAAUGCCACUACUGCCCUUAAGUUAAGGUGGAACCCACCCAUCCUAACUGCAUUAAAGCAGAAGGUCCUUCGAGAAGUUAAUGCGUUUAAAUUAUGCCACUACUGCCUUUUAGUGUGAAACCCACGCAUCCUCACUUUGCAUUAAAACAAUCCUUGGGGCAUGUAAUGUGCUUAAAUGCCAGCACUGUCUUUUUCUUACUUUGCAACCCGCCCAUCCUCUCUAUGAAUUAAAACAGGGAUCUAAGAGGGAAAAAACACAGAGGGUCCUUGGGGCAGUUAGUGUGCUUAAAUGCCACUAUGGAACCCAUCUAUCUUCACUUUGUAUUAAAACUGAAGGACCUUGAAACUGUUACUCUGGUAACUUGUAUCCUCCCAUUCCUCUGCAUUGCCUGAGAGCAGAUAUGUUAUUGAAAUGUGCUUAUUUGGCUGCUGUGGCACCUUCUUUUUGUCUCUUUCCAUUUCUUCCCACUCCCUUUGCAGUAUAGCAGAGGGUACUUGGGCCUGUUAAUGGGCUUAAUUAUAGGAUUCCCAUGCACUCCUAGGCAGUUUGCAUUUAGACAUAUAUUUGGUUCUGUGAAGUUGCCUAAUUGCAACAGUGGUCCUUUUUGUCUAGGUUCCCAAUCCACCUCGUAGCCCUAUUACAAUACCUGGAUGGGCAUUUGGCACUGUCAGUGUGCUCAAUUGAAGUUGUGGUCCCUUCUGUAAUUCCAGGAUCACAUCCUGCCUUUUCCCUUUUCAUUACCUAGGAGCGUUUGGGGACUGUUAAAAGCCCUUGGAGCUACUGUCCCUUCUAUUUGUCUAAGAUUCCAUCCCUCCCUCCCCCAUCUCACUUGGCAUUACAACAGUGACUGUUGUGCUUAAUGUGCUUAAAGGCAGCUAUAGUCCCUUUCCUUAGUCUGGGAUCCAUCCAGGCCCUUAAACAUCUUUUGCAUUACCAUAGAAAGUACUUGGGACUGUAAGUGUGGUUAAAUGCAAGUGUGGUCCCUUUUGUUAGUUUAGGAACAUGACUUUUCAGUUUCUUUACAUCAUCUGGAAGUCAUUGUAGAUAAAGUUCUAAUUGUAGCUGUGGUCCCUUUUGUCAAUCUAAGAUUCCUUUUUCUCCUACUUCAUUUGCAUUACAACAUAGGGUUCUUGGAACUAUGAAGGGGUGUCUUGUCCUGUCACAUCUAUUAAAUUUUACAAAAGAGGAUCUGAACACCAAAACCCCUUCUUUUGCACCGUUAAUGUGGAAUAUUGCUUUUGUCCUUUCUCCUCUGCAGUAGAUAUAGGCCUCACUCAUUUUCCUUAUAUUCAGCAGUGGAUGCCCUUUACUAAGGACCUUUGUACUUAAUAUAGUUAAAAGUGAGUCAUAGUAGUUGACCACAAUUAUGUCUUUUAUGAAAGUGGUUGACCCUCUUCAUUUUACAAGAAGGCGUAUUAAUUACCUGUUACUUGCCUUAUGUUAGAAUAGCAUCCCAUUUCCUUGCCCCAUUUAUAUUACUGCAAGGGCUUCUGACUAGCCAAGAUUCACUCUCCUGGACUGUUAAUGUGCAUACUUACAUUUGCUCCUGUACCUGUACAGCAGGUAAGGCCACUCCCCCAUCAUAUUUAUACUCUAGCAGGAGGUGCCUACUACUAAAGACCUUACACACUUAUGCAGUUAAUGUACACAACUUUUAUCUUGUACACACUCUCAGUAGUCCAUAACUGUGCCUUUUCAAUCUCUUGCACUUAUGGAAGCAGAGGUUACUGACCUUAAAGCCCUCUCUUGGGACUAUGGAUUUGUUUAAUUAGUUGUCCAUAAUCUUUCGAAUUAAGAUGGGUUCCUGACUCUUCACACCCUCUUUGCUUUACUGCAUGGGGUACUGUCCACUUAAGGCCCCUUUCUCAAACUGUUAAUGUGUAUAAUAAUUACAUUAGAAUCCUUCCUCUGAUUUCAAUCCCUUUGAAAUACCAGAGGGAUUCUGACUCUGAAGGACCCAUUUCUUAGCUCGUUAAUGUGAAUGUGCUUGUCUGGGUUUCUGUGUACUAGACAAUGACACCUCCUCUCCCUAUUCCCUUUCAGCAUUGAGUGCCCUCUGCACAAGACUGUUAACGCUUGGACAGUCAAGGUGUGAAAUUAUAGUUGAUUACAGCCUUACACCUGGGACAUUAAUGUGUGUAAUUUCACAUGGCUCAUCCCAUUUGAAUAAGAUCCUAUAUCCUCUCAGACCCUUAUUAUAGUAUAGCAAGGGUACUGAUCACAUGAAAAGGUAUCUUUUCAUGGCUUAUUGUGCAUAAUUGCAUUUGUACAUGUUCUUGUACACCAGAUAAGGACACCCCUCUCCUUAUUCCCUUAGCCUUUUAGCAAAGAGUGCCCACUACUUUAAGAUUUUUAUAUUGGUACAAGGUACAAGGUUUUAAUUAACUAUACCAUAUCCCUUGGACAUUAAUGUACAUAAUUUCAACUUGGUUCAUCCUACCCUAUUGCUCUCCGUUGACAGUAUACCAUAGUUGCUGAACCCUAAAUCCCCUUUACUUGGCCUAUUAAUGUGCGUAAUUGCAUUUGUCUGGGUUCUUGUUCACUAGACAAGGACACUGACACACAACAUACCCCCAACCUCCUUUGCCUUCUAGUAGGUAGCACCUACUAUUGAGACCUUUACAUUUAGACAGUUAAUGUGCAGAAUUGCUGUUUUCCAUAUCCCCAUCACUUCCAGGACUAUUGUACCUCCUUUGCACUAUUGCAGGGGAUACUGUUUUUUCUCCAAGGCCCCUUCUAGUGGACUGGUACUAUACAUAUUGAAAUUGUCUAUUGUCUUCAUUAGUAGACACACACACACACACACACACACACACCCCCGCCCCACCAACUUCCCUUUGCAGUACAGCAGAGUGCUGAUCAACCAAAGCCCUCAUUGGACCUUUAAUAUCUGCAGUUACAUUUUCUCCUGUUCUCUGCACUAGAUAAGCGCAUCACCUACUUCCUUAGCAUUUUCAUCAGACAGUGCCCACUACUCAAAAGAUUUGUUCACUUGGAAGUUUCAUGUGCACAAAUAUAAUUUUGUAAGUAAAUCUUAUAUCAGAAUGACUGUACCCUCCUUGCUUUAAAGCAAGGAGAUGCUAUUCAACGGGCCCCUCCCUCCUUUUUACUUUAAUGUAUAAUUGCAAUUGUCCUUGCUUCUGUUGGAGUAGGAUUGCAUCUCCUCAUUCCCCCCUUUGUAUUAGGGGCAUAUUAACUAUGAAUGAGCUCUUCUAUUGAGAUUAUUAAUGUGCAUAAUUAAUUGUAUUUGUCUGUGGGCCUAUGCAGUAGGAAAGGUGCUGUGCUCUAUGCCCUUACCACUCACUGCCUUUGAAUUACUGCUGACCUCAGCUCUCGAACAUUUAUCCAAAGUUCUGAUUAUUAUACAGGACCCCAUACUUUCUUUGUAUACAUCAUGUAUGACCCCUUCUGUUGGAAUAGGAUACCAUUCCAUUAUACCCCCUACGCAUUACUGCGGGGGCUGCUGACCACACAAAACUUCUGCAAAUGUUAAUAGACACAAUGGCAAUUAGCAAUGGGUUUGUCCUCCCUGAUCUUAUUAGGUAAGCACUCUCAGCCCCAAUUUCUCAUGGCAUCAUAAAGUGUAAACAUUGCAGUAUGCCCUUUAACUUGUCCUUCAAAGAGCAACCCAUACUCCCACUCCUUUUGCAAUGCUCCAGGGCAUACAUUUCCAAGUAGUCAUGGUCCUACCCUUAUCUUCCCUCUCCCUACCUCUUGCCUGUCCUUGGACCCUUCUGUGGACCAUUAAUAAUCACAAUUUCAGUUGUCCAUGUAUUCAGCCAUUAGAUAAUAUUGUGAUCCCUCCUGCCCCUGCCCGGCCCCGCGCCCCGCCCCACCUCAUCCCGCCCUUUUGAAUUGCUGGUGGGGAAUGUUGAUUGGGCAAGGCCCUUUCACUUGGGCUUAAAUGUUAACAAUCCCAGAUGUCAUUGGUUUACCCAGUUUAUAUUGCUGUGGUGCUUCAGUUGCACUUUACUUGGUCCUGCCCAUCUGACAUGGACCCUCCAUUUCCCUUUUUGCAUUGCUUUUCAGUAAUGCUGACUACCCAAAGGCCCUUCUGUGUUUUUACUCAACACAGUACUGAUUGUCCCAUUUUUCAACCCAUCAGCUCAAGACCUCCCUACCACUUUGAUGUUGUAUUUGUGCAGUGUUGUUUACCAGCAGGCCUGAACUAGGUGGAUGGGCCUUCACUCCUUUUCUUGCAUUUGUUAAUAAUCUGAAUUCCAAUUAUUGUCCUAUUCUUGGGACAAGAGUUAUCUCUGCCCACCUCUGUUACUGCUUUACUGGGCAAAAUGCUCAAGGCGAGGCAAGCCCAAGGAGCUGAUUGCCACCCUUUACAUUCUGGAUUUUUAACACACACACAUAUAUAUAUCAGUUGAAAGUUGUCUCCCCAGGAAGGAAGGUUAACACUAUCUCUGCAUUUUUCCUUCCAAAGCAGGUUGCCUGGCUGAGAAUCUCUCCUCUUUGUAUAUUGCUAUUCUACAGAGUCAAUUGCCAGGAUACAACCAAAAGUUACCGCUAUUUUUUAUUAAGAAAGACAUCUGGAUUGCAAGGUGGAAUUGAUAAACUGGGCAUUAAACUUUUGAAGUUAAAAACCCAUUUAUACCAUGUACCUGAUGACCAGUGUCUCUCAUUUUACUAAGGGUGGUGGGUCUGUGGAUAGACCACUGUGACUCUUGCUAUACUAAAGGAGUUCAAGAAUGGAACUCUUAAAGACCAGUAUCUUUGAGCUCUACCACCAUUCUAAAACCAUGCCAUUUGGGUUUUACCACCAUUCUCUUUUAGAAAAACUACCUAAAUUUCCUAAUCCUUAAAUUUCUUCAUCUGGAACACCAACCAGCCCCUACUUAUUUCAAGAAGAUAAUAACUGUAAAAGGAUGAAAUGAGACAACAUAUACUGAGGUGCUUUUGAAAACCAAAGUUCACCUUAUUUGAUUAAUCUAUUACAUAAUGAGGACUUAAAAAUGAUGGGACCUGUUUCCCUGUUUUAUAUCAAAAGAACAGUAAGCUAAGGUCUAGCCAUUCUUCCGGAUAUAAACUUGUUUGACAGUGCGCUGCCUGGUAAAAAUGAUUAGCCUAGCCUCUAGUGUACAGGUUUUGGUGGCAAAGAAGUAUUUAAUAAGGAACUACUGAAGCAAAUAACUAGUCAUCACAACAGCAGUUCUUUGUAAUCAAUGAAAAAGAAUACUAUUCCUCUAAGAAGGAUGUCAAAAGGUCAUCCCAGGUCAGGGUGCAGUUUAUACUUCCAGCUCCUUGGACAGCUGUAAGAAGAGUCUCUGGCUCUUUAGAAUUCUGGAUGAAUUCUGAGCCAGUUCUGAACCCCUACUUAGGAAUGAUGGGUCAAUUGUAGAUGGAUUGAAAUCUGCACUAGGAAGCAUCCAA